ACKGCUCAGUAACACGUCGAUAAUCUGCCCUUGAGACUGGGAUAACCUUGGGAAACUGAGGCUAACACUAGAUGGGGGAAUUCUACUGGAAUGUGUUUUCCCUCAAAGGCAACGCUCAAGGAUGAGUUGGCGGCGGAUUAGCUUGUUGGUGGGGUAAUGGCCCACCAAGGCAUUGAUCCGUAGGGGCCUUGGAAGAGGUAGCCCCGAGAAGGACACUGAGAUACUGGUCCUAGCCCCACGGGGUGCAGCAGGCGCGAAAACUUUACACUACACGAAAGUGUGAUAAGGGGAUUCCAAGUGCCUAUACAACGUAUAGGCUUUUUUUGAGAGCAAAUUUCUCGGAGAAUAAGUGGUGGGUAAGACCGGUGCCAGCAGCCGCGGUAAUACCAGCUCCCCGAGUGGUUGGGACGAUUAUUGGGUCUAAAGCGUCCGUAGCCGGCCGGAAAAGUUCCCCGUUAAAUCUGGCGAUCCAAUCGUUAGGCUGCGGGGAAUACUCUUCGGCUUGGGGGCGAGGGAGGUCGGCGGUAGUCCCGGGGUAGGGGCGAAAUCCUAUAAUCCCGGGAGGACCACCAGUGGCGAAGGCGGCCGACUAAAGCGCGCCCGACGGUGAGGGACGAAAGCUGGGGGAGCGAACGGGAUUAGAUACCCCGGUAGUCCCAGCUGUAAACGAUGCAGGCUAGGUGUUGGGACGGCUACGAGCUGUCCCAGUGCCGCAGGGAAGCCAUUAAGCCUGCCACCUGGGAAGUACGGCCGCAAGGCUGAAUUUCUUGAGAGGCUCAGAAAAU
rnacentral:rRNA from 1 species